rnacentral:rRNA from 1 species
UGAGGAAUUUUGGACAAUGGGCGCAAGCCUGAUCCAGCCAUGCCGCGUGCGGGAAGAAGGCCUUCGGGUUGUAAACCGCUUUUGUCAGGGAAGAAACGCUCUGGGCUAAUACCCUGGGGUAAUGACGGUACCUGAAGAAUAAGCACCGGCUAACUACGUGCCAGCAGCCGCGGUAAUACGUAGGGUGCAAGCGUUAAUCGGAAUUACUGGGCGUAAAGCGUGCGCAGGCGGUUUGGUAAGACAGAUGUGAAAUCCCCGGGCUUAACCUGGGAACUGCAUUUGUGACUGCCAGACUAGAGUGUAGCAGAGGGGGGUAGAAUUCCACGUGUAGCAGUGAAAUGCGUAGAUAUGUGGAGGAAUACCGAUGGCGAAGGCAGCCCCCUGGGCUAACACUGACGCUCAUGCACGAAAGCGUGGGGAGCAAACAGGAUUAGAUACCCAUGUAGUCCCUGAGCGGGCUGGCAAGGCGCAU